UCGACGGCAGCGGGGACUUCGGUCCGCCGGCGAGUGGCGAACGGGUGAGUAAAGUAUCGGAACGUACCUUUCAGUGGGGGAUAUCGUAGCGAAAGUUACGCUAAUACCGCAUAUUCUGUGAGCAGGAAAGCAGGGGAUCGCAAGACCUUGCGCUGAUUGAGCGGCCGAUAUCAGAUUAGCUAGUUGGUGGGGUAAAGGCCUACCAAGGCGACGAUCUGUAGCGGGUCUGAGAGGAUGAUCCGCCACACUGGAACUGAGACACGGUCCAGACUCCUACGGGAGGCAGCAGUGGGGAAUUUUGGACAAUGGGGGCAACCCUGAUCCAGCCAUGCCGCGUGAGUGAAGAAGGCCUUUGGGUUGUAAAGCUCUUUCGGCCGGGAAGAAAUCGCACAGGCUAAUACCCUGUGUGGAUGACGGUACCGGAAUAAGAAGCACCGGCUAACUACGUGCCAGCAGCCGCGGUAAUACGUAGGGUGCGAGCGUUAAUCGGAAUUACUGGGCGUAAAGCGUGCGCAGGCGGUUUCGUAAGACAGAGGUGAAAUCCCCGGGCUCAACCUGGGAACUGCCUUUGUGACUGCGAGGCUAGAGUACGGCAGAGGGGGGUGGAAUUCCACGUGUAGCAGUGAAAUGCGUAGAGAUGUGGAGGAACACCGAUGGCGAAGGCAGCCCCCUGGGCCGAUACUGACGCUCAUGCACGAAAGCGUGGGUAGCAAACAGGAUUAGAUACCCUGGUAGUCCACGCCCUAAACGAUGUCAACUAGGUGUUGGGUGGGUAAAACCAUUUAGUACCGUAGCUAACGCGUGAAGUUGACC
rnacentral:rRNA from 1 species